rnacentral:rRNA from 1 species
UACAGAGGUGGCAAGCGUUGUUCGGAAUUACUGGGCGUAAAGGGCGUGCAGGCGGUUUGUUAAGUCUAGGGUGAAAGCUCCCGGCUCAACUGGGAGAGGUCCUUGGAUACUGGCGAACUUGAGGGAUGCAGAGGAAAGUGGAAUUCCCGGUGUAGUGGUGAUAUGCGUAGAUAUCGGGAGGAACACCAGUGGCGAAGGCGGCUUUCUGGGCAUUUCCUGACGCUGAGACGCGAAAGCGUGGGGAGCGAACCGG